AUAAAGUUUAACAUUCUUUUCACAUCCCAAGUAUGAAAAGCUUUUUAACAGUUGGAUUAAUGCUUUUUCUAAGUGCUGAAUAUUACUUCUGUGCUUCUAAAAAGUAUGAAAACACGUCAAGUAGAGUAAUUGAACGCAGGAUGAUUGGAGGAAGGAAGGCAGAAAAAGGGGAAUUUCCAUUUUUGGUAGCAUUAUUUGAAAAGGAAACACAUAGGGGUGCUUUUUCUUUAAUCACAACAAGGACGAUAAUAGGAGCAGCGCACAUUGUACACGAAAACCCACUCAAAGAUUAUUACGGAAGAAUAGGAGACGUUAACAAAAACGCAGGGAAAAAAGUGCUGUUUCGAAAAAGGAUUAUACACUCACGUUUUAAUCCAAAAAGUUGGAAAAAACGUAAGAUUUACUAAAGGUUCCGCCACGUUUGUUGGAUGGGGAGAUAUUGGUUUCAAUGAUGAAACAGACCUUCUUCAAGUAGCGAAAGUAAAGUUAGUAGAUCCAACAUACGUAGCAUGUGAAUUCAACUACGAAUUAACUUACAAAGAAAUUACAACACUGUCAUCUAGAGUAGUAGCCAUGGAAGGAGAUUCUGGCUCACCACUGAUCAAGAGAGAUGCAUCAAAAAGACCAGUGCUUAUUGGCAUUUUGUCUAACGGCGGAAAUUUUACUAAAGAACCAGAUAUUUACAUGUCAACCAGUGUAUACCAUGAUUUUAUAAAAACUCACAGUGUCGGACAUCUCACAUACCUACACGUAUAAAAUUAAAAUAU
rnacentral:misc_RNA from 1 species